AGGAUAAACGCUGGCGGCGUGCUUCAGGCAUGCAAGUCGAACGAGCGCCAUCCUUCGGGGUGGUUGCGAGUGGCGGACGGGUGAGUAACACGUAAGCAAUCUGCCCGGUAGUGGGGAAUAACUAGCCGAAAGGUUGGCUAAUACCGCAUGUGAUGGCUCGUCCCUGGAUGGGUCAUGAAAGGCGUAAGUCGCUACCGGAGGAGCUUGCGGCCGAUUAGCUAGUUGGCGGGGUAAUGGCCCACCAAGGCUACGAUCGGUAGCUGGUCUGAGAGGACGGUCAGCCACACGGGGACUGAGAUACGGCCCCGACUCCUACGGGAGGCAGCAGCUAGGAAUCUUGGGAAUGGGCGAAAGCCUGACCCAGCAACGCCGCGUGGGCGAUGAAGGCCUUCGGGUCGUAAGCCCUUUUGCAGGGGAAGAUGAUGACGGUACCUUGCGAAUAAGCCACGGCUAACUACGUGCCAGCAGCCGC
rnacentral:rRNA from 1 species